rnacentral:rRNA from 1 species
GAUGAACGCUGGCGGGAGGCCUAACACAUGCAAGCCGAGCGGUAUUGUUUCUUCGGAAAUGAGAGAGCGGCGUACGGGUGCGUAACACGUGUGCAACCUGCCUUUAUCUGGGGGAUAGCCCUUCGAAAGGAAGAUUAAUACUCCAUAAUAUAUUGAACGGCAUCGUUUAAUAUUGAAAGCUCCGGUGGAUAGAGAUGGGCACGCGCAAGAUUAGCUAGUUGGUGAGGUAACGGCUCACCAAGGCGAUGAUCUUUAGGGGGCCUGAGAGGGUGAUCCCCCACACUGGUACUGAGACACGGACCAGACUCCUACGGGAGGCAGCAGUGAGGAAUAUUGGUCAAUGGGUGCAAGCCUGAACCAGCCAUCCCGCGUGAAGGACGACUGCCCUAUGGGUUGUAAACUUCUUUUGUAUAGGGAUAAACCUACCCUCGUGAGGGUAGCUGAAGGUACUAUACGAAUAAGCACCGGCUAACUCCGUGCCAGCCGCCGCUGUAAUAC